AAGGUAGGAAUCGUAAGAGUGUACAGAAAUAAGUCACAUGCAGACCAUAUUGAAAUACGCAGAGAAUUCCAUGGAGACUCUGAUGGCUAGGGCACCGUUGAGCUGUUGCAACUGUUCUGCUGCUGAGGAAACCAAAUCUGAAAGAGAUUAAGAAACAUGAGCAGUAUCAAAUGACUAGACAAUGUCUCAGCUGAAUUCAAUCAUCUUUUUAAACUCCAUCUACCUGCUCUAUCUGACAUUAAUAAACAUUCCAAGAAGAAUGUCUGCAAAGAGGAGAGACUGAGAAUUACUAGCCACUCAAUUAGGUCACUUAACAUCUUAUAUUAGCUGCUCAUUUCAUUUGGGAGCAAGGAGAACUGGGUUCUCAUUCUUCAGCCAAUGAGCUGGAGAAACCUGGACAAAUAAUUUAAUUGCUUGAGGCUUAAUUGUCCAAUCACUGAAAUGUAAGAAAAUAAGAAAUAAUCUUUAAAUUUACUUUCAAUUAAAUAAAACACUGAUUGUUAAUACAUAUUUGAAAAUAUACUAGAAACUGAACGUGCAAAUUAGGAUAAUGAAUUGCACUCUAAAUUUAAAAUGCAAGAAAUGAUGUAUUUUAUUUCUUAUUUAUACAUAUAUAUUAUUUCAAGAAUUAUAAAUCUCAACAUG
rnacentral:lncRNA from 1 species